rnacentral:rRNA from 1 species
AACGAACGCUGGCGGCAUGCCUAACACACGCAAGUCGAACGAGACCUUCGGGUCUAGUGGCGCACGGGUGCGUAACGCGUGGGAACCUGCCCUUAGGUUCGGAAUAACUCCCCGAAAGGGGUGCUAAUACCGGAUAAUGUCUUCGGACCAAAGAUUUAUCGCCUUUGGAUGGGCCCGCGUUGGAUUAGCUAGUUGGUAGGGUAAAAGCCUACCAAGGCGACGAUCCAUAGCUGGUCUGAGAGGAUGAUCAGCCACACUGGGACUGAGACACGGCCCAGACUCCUACGGGAGGCAGCAGUGGGGAAUAUUGGACAAGGGGCGAAAGCCUGAUCCAGCAAUGCCGCGUGAGUGAUGAAGGCCUUAGGGUUGUAAAGCUCUUUUACCCGGGAUGAUAAUGACAGUACCGGGAGAAUAAGCUCCGGCUAACUCCGUG